rnacentral:lncRNA from 7 species
GAGCCAUGUGGUCGAAGCUGCCCAAGGAGAAGCGUGGGUUAGGCUGACUCAGCUCCUGAGGGCAAUGAAUCAGAGUGAAAUGCCCUUGAAAGGGUAAGUCCUGCCUGGAUGGUGAAGCAAGAAGGAGCUGAGGUGGGCUUUGCUAAGGGCCUCUGAUGGGAAUGGUUGACAUCUGAGCCUCCUUCCAACCCCCUUGCAGGAUUCCUCAUUGCUGCCUUUCUUCAGAGCAAGAAGAGCUGGUUUGGUUGCUGUCCUUCAAAUGAUGGAUCUUAUCACGUGGGAAAAAGAAAAAAAGCAAACCACCUGCAAACAGCCACAGGUGUGGACAAGACCAAGGACUGAAGCUGAAGGGUGUGCAAGCUCCCAUCUGCGUGCCAGCCUGGGCGUACUGUAAGGUGGAGACAUCUGCAACUUCAUGCGCUGCACCAUGGAUGGGCUUUCUUCUUGUCAGGAGUGUUUGCCUUUGGGAUCCUCCUAUUGUUGGGGCACCACCGAGAGGAUUACUGUUUGCUCUUUGCUUCUGCAUUCACCUCUAGUCGCAGAUGCAGCCAGGCCUUCCCAACCAGCUGCUUUUCCUGAGCUGCAGGAGCAGAAGACAAGCCCAGGCAGGGCCAUCUGCAGCAGCUGCUGUGCUCCAGCAGGGCAGUCAGGCUGAGGCAUGCUGCAGUGCUGCUCCUCUCCUCUACCCACCUCGUGGAUGCAUCAAGCGCUUCUGUUUACACGGCCAUCAGUCUGGCAGCUUUCCUCAACACUAAAUUUACUUUUUGAAGUUACAUCAGUGUUGUACCCAGAGGGAAUGGAGGAACAGAUGCAGCCUGUGAAGUCUGGCUUUAAUUCACCUGCCUCAUUUAAUUUCCUGCCCUGCCUUCUAAUCAAUGAGUCUGCACUGGCAGCCCUGGGAAUACAGAGGUUUUCUCACAUACAGGAGACCUCUCACCUACAGGAGAUCUCAGGGUCUCCAGCAGGCCAUGUCCCGUCUCCUUCGAGGCUCUCUGUGCCCCAGAAGCACUGCACACACACAGUGGCUGCAUCGCAUUUCCUCCAUGGGGCCACUGGUGGUCCUUCACCAGGAGAGCAGCAUUACACCACCUCAGAGCUGUGUGCCCCAGAUACUUGGGACUGCCAGGAAACGUGGAAGAAAGGGGCUGGGGCAUUGCUGCUUUGCUGAGCAGGCUCCCACUGUCCUGUUCCUUUUUUUUUUCCUUGAGCUCAUGUUUAUUCCAGGCAGCACUGCCCAGUUGCUUAAUCAGCCAAUGUCAAAACCCUGCAAGAGAAGAAGGCUGCCCUUGGCUGGCAGCAGUUAUUUUGUGACGUGUCUGCUUCACCUCAUGUAUUAUAAUCUGUAUCAGAUUGCUCUUUGCUUGCUAAAAUGGACAAUUAGGAUCCGGUUGUAAUGCAAAUUGCACAGUGGAAUAAAAACCAUGGGGAAC